GCCUGGAUAGCUCAGUUGGUUAGAGUGUGGUGCUGAUAAUACCAAGGUUGCAAGUUUGACUCCCAUAUGGGACA